rnacentral:rRNA from 1 species
UCUACGGGAGGCAGCAGUGGGGAAUAUUGCACAAUGGGGGAAACCCUGAUGCAGCGACGCCGCGUGAGUGAAGAAGUAUUUCGGUAUGUAAAGCUCUAUCAGCAGGGAAGAAAAUGACGGUACCUGACUAAGAAGCCCCGGCUAACUACGUGCCAGCAGCCGCGGUAA